GGAGUUGAAACAGAUUGUUCCCAAAGAGUCUCUGGUUUUACUUCCUCAUAGGAAAGGUGUAUAAGAAGCUGGGGCAGACCCACCUGGCUCUGAUGAACUUCAGCUGGGCGAUGGAUCUGGAUCCUAAAGGAGCCAACAACCAGAUCAAAGAAGCCAUCGACAAGAGAUACCUGCCGGAGGACGAAGCUGCGGAGGUAGAUGACAGUCAGGACAGCAGCGUGAUGACAGACGCUGAUGACACUCAGCUUCACACAGCGGAGAGUGAUGACAUCCUUUAGCCCCGCCCCCCUGUCCUGAUUGGCUGGAGGAGUACUGUUGCUAGGCAACAUUCUAACAGACAGAUCUCCAGUUUCGCCCCAGCCUUCAUCCCUGUCCUCUGAUUGGCUGAAACAGACUGCUGCUGCCCUGAAGCCCCGCCCCCUCCUCCUCGUACAACAUCACAGCUGUUUUUUAUGUUCUUUUUAUCAU